rnacentral:rRNA from 1 species
AUUGAACGCUGGCGGCAGGCCUAACACAUGCAAGUCGAACGAGUGGCGGACGGGUGAGUAAUGUCUGGGAAACUGCCUGAUGGAGGGGGAUCACUACUGGAAACGGUAGCUAAUACCGCAUACCAUCAGAUGUGCCCAGAGGGGAUUAGCUGGUUGGUGGGGUAAAGGCUAACAAAGGCGACGAGCCAUAGCUGGUCUGAGAGGAUGACCAGCCACACGGGAACGGGGACACGGUCCAGACGCCUACGGGAGGCAGCAGUGGGGAAUAUUGCACAAUGGGCGCAAGCCUGAGGCAGCCAUGCCGGGUGUAUGAAGAUGGCCUUCGGGUUGUAAAGUACUUUCAGCGGGGAGGCGUUACCCGCAGAAGAAGCACCGGCUAACUCCGUGCCAGCAGCCGCGGUAAUAC